rnacentral:lncRNA from 1 species
AUGAUUUCUUUUUUUUUUCUGGACUCAAAAAAAAUUGAUGUUAUCUAUCUCUAUGUUAACCUCCUUCUCCCAAAGUACAGUGGAGAGAGGAAAGAGACAGAGAUCCUGGGGAUGGAGCCAGACCAAGAUGUAGUUGGUUUGUGUGGCCACAGCUGGAGACAUCAGCAGUGUAAGACUCACCUCAGCAACUUUUGGGAUUUGGAGAAAGAUGAAAGAUUGCUAAAACUAAGUGUUUAAUAACUCCUUUCAGGGCUGCCAAAAGGAAAGAAGAUCAUCUGCCCCAAAACAGCAAAAGUGGAACCAGCAAUUUUUUCAUAGGCCUCUCAAUAAGUGUGGUUCUGGGAAUAAGAAGGAAACAGUACCAUUUCCAAGGCUCUGAGUCUGGUCUUUUCCUCUUCUAAAUUCUUCUUCCUUCUACCUUUUCCUUCUCCCGGUAUAAUUUUGCACCCGAUAAGCAUGCAUGCAGUUUGCAAGACGCGAUCCUGCCUGUUAGUGUUUUCCACGAAUUCCUACUAUGAUGUGUGAUCCCAAAGCAACAAUUUAGGGCAAAGCCUGGCAUUUUGUAGCAUCAAGGAUCUUUCUUGGAAG